rnacentral:lncRNA from 1 species
GUAAAAAAAUAAUAAAAUAAAAAAAAAAUAAAAAAAUACAUUCUGUUGCUUCUAACUCUAUUUUACAAGCAAGUAUAGCUGACAUCAAUCACAGCACAACCACUGACUUUAUCGUGUAUUUGAUUUCAUUAGUGCAGAUUAAUGUUUGAGAGCUGGUUGUGUAGUCUUAUUGGACUGCGUUUCAGUCAUUGUAAUAUUCAUUCCAUUGUCUGACAACAGAAACAUUAAAAUAUAGUAAUAAAAACAGUUUUAUUGAGAAUUAAAUUAAAUGGCUAAAUUAAAUUGCAAUAUGUGAGCAUAGGGAGGCAAUACAAUACGACGCACUUACUUCAUAAAUAUUCUAAUUAGUGCAUGAUGUCAUAUAGUUCAUGUUCUCAUUAUCUUUUUUUUUCACAAAUCGCAUCCUGAUUAUAAAUAGUAAUAGGCUGAAUUGCAAAAAGGUAGUCUCUAUUUCUAAUACAUGUGUAGCCAAGCCACUGGGAGGCGCUGUCGUUCCUAUUAUGAUAGGUAAGGUAACCCUUGAAAUAAGCACGUGCUUCCAAUUAGUAGAUGAGUUGCGUUCAAUGGUUUGUCGUGCAGGUGGUUGUUGGUCGUUGGGAGAACAAUUGCUGGAAACUGGCGCUGGAUCAGAAACGCUUUGGGAAUGCCUCUGAGUUACCAUGUCCUGAAGCAUGUGUGAAAUCAUGCUGCAUUUGAGACAACUCAAAAUGUAAAAGUUGCAGUCUAAGAAAGCAAUGAAAUAAAAUAAUUAAAGGUAAUUUUGAGUUUAUAUUUCAAAAUGUUGUCUUUUUUUUUUUAUUCCGAGAUUAUAUCUAAAAAGAAACUACAACCCCCCCCUCAGUUCAGAAUCAUGACUUUAUAAGAUAAAAACAAGAUUAAAAAAAAAGUUAGAAUUUUAAGAUAAAAUAGAUAAAUGUUAUGUAAAAUGUUAUAGGUUAAAGGCUAUUUCAGGUUUCAGAUGUAGGCCAGAGUCUCAAGUGGUGAUCUGCUGGCCUGAACACAAGCACAAACAAACACAGUACUGCAAACAACACGCGCGCACACAAACACACACACACACACAUGUUUGUUUUUGUGAAAAGUGGGGACAUCACAUAGGUGUAAUGGUUUUUAUACUGUAGAAACUGUAUAUUCUAUCGCCCUUCACCAACCCUACCACUAACCCUCACAGGAAACUUUGUGCAUUUUUACUUUCUCAAAAAACCUAAUUCUGUAUGUUUAUAAGCGUUUUGAAUAAUGGGGACAUGGGUUAUGUCCUCAUAAGUCACCCUCUCCUUGUAAUACCUGUGUCAUACCCAUGUCAUUAUACCGAGUUGUGUCCUGAUAUGUCACAAAAACAUGCCCCCACACACACACACGCACACACACACCAGUUAGUUCUUUGAUAAAGUACAUUUCAUAGAGAAACAGAAAGAAAAUGUGGCCAUAUUUUAACACAAAGUUCUGUUAGUUAGAGCAUGAGCUGGGUAAACUGAAUGAUGUUACAUAAAGCAAAACUACUGCAGCUCUAGAGUUUAAAUCAAUAUUUCAUCUGUCCAUGUGAAAUUCUUUGAAUCUCAAAGCACACAAUUUAGAAUAUGAAUUGUUUCCUCACAUUCCUAUGGUUGUUUUGUGCUUGUUUGAUAUGACGAUAACACUCUAAUUCCCUAGAUAUUGUCUUGAAUUGCUAGCAUUCUCCAGCCCUUGCUAUUCUUACCACAUUGAUUUAUUUUAGAUUAAGUCAUUUUUAGUUAAAAAAAAAGUGAUCAUCUUUAUGAGCCAGUCAUUAAAACAUUCUUUAAACUGUACACUGAACUGAUUCAUUUAAGAAUGAAAC